GGAAUUGUGCCUGAAUGCUUAAGGACUACUUUGAUAGAGUACUCAACGGAGGUUCAAGUCCUCCCAAUUCCU
rnacentral:tRNA from 1 species